CAGAAAUGCACUCUUCCUUGCUCCUUUUCGUUGCUGAUAGGUCAUUUAUUACUGGGGCUGAAAUGAGAUAAACAAUUCUCUCUCUUUUCCCCCUUGUUAACAGCAACUUUCAUUGUUGCAGAGAGAAGAGCCUUGUUGGUUGACGUCACUUUUGGUUCAUGAAGGCUUCGCCUGGAAGUGAAGCUGUAUAAACCUUGAGAAGAGAAUCUGCUUCAAUCUGCUGCCGCUGUAAGGAACUAACCAGGGAGAGACAGCGAGAGAAACAGAUACACGCAGAGAGGGUUACACUCUCCCAAAUUUCCCCACCCCUCCUUAGUGUUUCUUUACACUCUUCUUGAGGGUGUUGGACAGGGAAACGUUCCUGACACACACAUAUCCUAACCUCCAGCAACCCGAGAAAGGGAAGAUCUCUUCCAAACUAGAAAGAUUUCAGGACAAGGAAGGAGGGACGGAGAGAUCGUGCUCAGAUGGGCAAAGCUGCUGCCGGAGUUGAGGUGUUGGUGUUCUGCAGCCGCUGAAUUGAAGUGUAAAGGAGCAGAUGUUUUGCCAAACAUCCUGAUGUGUUGCUUUUUCUUAUGGGAGUGCGGAACUGUUCCUUCUGAUGCAUCGACUUGACAGCUGGUUGAUUUCAUGGAGCUGCUAAGAAGCCAUUAGUGGUGUCAUUGAAUUGAAACAGAACAGUCACUCCCAGCUUGAACUGCAAUUGUUAAUGUCUUUGUUGCUACUUUUGUGUUCCUACACAAGAUGUGGAAUAUCACAGUUGCAAGAAAGUUCAUGCUUUCUGUCUGAUCCUUCUGAAUUAGUGAAAGAAUUUGUUUAGUGCUUGAUUGCUUUUAGAUUCACAGUAUUCUUAUUAUGGCAUAUUCGGCACUAGAAGAUCCAAGUUGUUUUGCCAAGUCUAGAUCAACUAGAAAUGCAUCUUACUACAAAGAAACUAAGAGAGUGCUGUCCCAGAAUUGAAAUUAUUUCACCAAGAUUUAUUCUUAGUAUACUAGAUUCCUUGGAGGGUUUUUAAUUUCCCUUUAGUAAUUUAUAUUUAAAAAUCUUCAAAACCAGGUUUUAUUUUUUCUCCUUUUUAAAAAUAUAAAUGUAGGGCCAUAUCCUUCAAUUGAUUUGAAUAGAGAUUUCAGCUUUAAAAGGUAAUAGUAUAGUAUGAUCCAUUUUUUUCCCUUAAAAAAAAUUGAAGAUGGUUUUUAUAACAGAGACCUGAUAAAGGGCCAAAUAGUACUUGCUUCACUCAGGUGCGUUGGCCAUUGAUGGGAAUGACUUGCUAAGGCCAUCAGGGUUUUCCCCCAAAUUUAAGGUAACCCUCUCAAAUUUCCUUGUCCUCUACUGUUGUUUGUUUUGGUUGAUGAUAUUAAAAUAAUUUUAUCAGCUAGUCUGUGUCCUUUUUUAAAUGCUACUAAAGAGCAAUCAAGAGAAACACUGACAAAUGUUAAUGAGAAGAGAGACAACAGUGUAUUUCACAAUUGUGUAGACUAGAACAGUCUGGUUGAACACUGACAAAACAGUGUAACGGGUAAAUUGUAUGCUUUAAAGAAAUGUAUGGAGGAAAAUACGGAAUGCUAAAAUAGGUACAGAAGACAUUUAAAACUAUGUCCCCCUCAAUCUGUGC
rnacentral:lncRNA from 1 species